ACACACAAACAGGGCAGGAAUUCACAUAUUGUCCAACUCCAAAGCCAUAUCCAGAUAGAUCGAACUACCCGGUCUGUGGCAUGGAGGAGAGUGGAGCUACCGGACCUGGCCAGCUGAAACUCUGCUCUGAAUGCAGGAACCAUCUUAGCUAGGUACCUGGCUAUAUCUCCUGUGCCUUUGAGGACCCUGGACUUAUCUAUUCCUACCCAUUUGGGAAGCAUCCUGAACUAGCUCACCUGUGAAUGGCUGCAGGAAAGAAGUUAAUACAUUCUCUCUUGGAGUCUGGCCAAAACCUGGAGAUAUCUGCAAAACUUAUGGCCUUUUUACUUUACCUCCUCCCCUCCUCUUCGUUCAAUAAAAGAAACCAUCAGCCAGACCCUGGAUGUCAGUCUGCCAUCUUAGACUCCCAGCCUUCCAAAUAAAGGUUGCUAUUUCUGGCCCCAA